GACGAACGCUGGCGGCGUGCCUAAUACAUGCAAGUCGACCUUAGUUGCGUACGGGUGAGUAACCCGUGGGUAACCUGCCCAUCCGAAGGGGAUACCACUUGGAAUCCGGUGCUACUUCCGCAUACUGAUGGAUGGACGCUCGGUUCAUUGCCUAGUUGGUGAGUUAACGGCUCACCAAGUCCACGAUGCAUCGCCGACCGGAGAGGGUGAUCGGCCACAGUGGGACUUAGACACGGACCAAACUCCGACGGGAGGCAGCAGUAGGGAAUCUUCGGCAAUGGACGAAAGGCUGACCGAGCAACGCCGCGUGAGUGAAGAAGGUUUUCGGAUCGUAAAACUCUGUUGUUAGAGAAGCGGUAUCUAACCAGAAAGCCACGGCUAACUACGUGCCAGCAGCCGCGGUAAUUC
rnacentral:rRNA from 1 species